AGGCCCAACUCAGCAACUCGUCCAAAUCAAAAUCACUUCUAUUGAAAAAAGCAAACCCUACCCCCUCUUCUCCCCUUCUCUCGACGGCGCCACCAUGCCGCCUCCGCCCUCAACCCUAGCCGCCAGGGCAACAACAGUAGCACCGCAGGGCGUAGGUGGCAGAGCAGGGACGCGGAUUCCGACUGACACUUCGUCGUCAAGCUCUCGCCAUUUGUAACUCCUUGCUCCGCCGACCUCGACGCAAACUACAACUUCUCGCUCGCGCCUAUCCAGGAUCCGCUCUCGCCAUGGUACCGCCCUUUUUCUCGGUCUGUGAAUCCACCCCCAUCUCCCUGCUCCCUCCUGCAUUUGUUGUGGUUCUUGGAAGCAGGUUGCAGGGACGGACCCAAAUAGGGGACCAAGCAUUCCCUUAGAGUUUGCACGCUUGCUGAUGCAGUGCAAGCCUGCAACAUGCAGAGGUGCGCUAGUGCCAGGUGCGGCGAGUCAGCAGAUCAAGGAAACCGCCCGCGGCCGCCCCAGGGGUCCAGGUCUCCUCACGGCGACGGGAGAGCGCGAGCCAAUGUGGAGCGGUUAGUUGGUCGCUGCUGCCAAUUGUUCUGCGCUUAUAAAAUUUCAAGGUUGUUACAUUUGAAUUGUUAUUGGAAAUUUCAAGGUCAGUAGCAGUGCUCGAUUGAUUUCAAGUACAUGGUAUUUCCCCUCCGUCCUAAGGCAUGUAAUUAGCCCCAAUUGAAACUUCUUGGUUUAUUUCAGUGCUCCAGUAUAUUUAUUGCCAGAGAUAAAAGCAUAUGCCUUGGUCAGUGACUUAAGCUUAGAAAAAGUACAAUACUUUAUGUAUGAAUUCAGAAAUCCCAAUGAUAUUCAUUCUGAAUAUGUGCAAAUGCAGGUAACUUUGGUCUUGCCAAUGUAUUGACAUCAGAUGAUCUUGUGUCUUCUAUAAGUAUACUUGAAAAAUUUUUAGUCUUGCAUUUAUUUGCUGGUGUUUCUUGUUACCGUAUUUUCUCCAACAAAGGUGGUAGUAACACCGAGUUAUAUGUGCCUAGAACUUCUUGCUGAUAUACCAUAUGGUACUAAAUCCAAUAUUUGGUCUCUAGGUGUGUACCACUUCAGUGUCAUAAACUAUGUUUCUGCACCUAGAUAGAAUGAGCUUGCGAUCUAAUACUUGAAUUUUACAGAAUGUUGCAUUUGACAAAUGACUACUCUCAGGCCUGCAAACUGCACAUUACAACGUGAAGUUGGUUAUUGAAAGGGCGCCCAUAGCUGCAAACAUAGCUGUGACCACAUGAUGAUGACGAUUUACUACAGCAGGCACUUGCAAUGUCAAUGGAGGGUGGUGCUUCAGGAUCUGCAGCUGUGACUGACUCUGCUAUGGCAGAAGCUAGUGCAGUUGACCCUGACUUAGCGUUGGCUUCCUGGUGUUGAUCCCAAUGAUCCAUCUGUUAAAGAUUUGUUGGCAUCAUUGCACAACCAGGGAGAGCAAGAGAAGAAGGAAGACAAGUAAGACAAAACAGAAGACGAGAAGAACUGCUUCAAGCUGGAGUGAUGUCGCUGUGGUGCUUUUGUGACUGAUCAUCUCUGGAGCUUUUGUGAAUGAUCUAGCUAGCUAUUUGUAAAUGAUCUA